ACAACCCAUUCCCCAUGACUGAUUUUUUUCAAAGCCAAAACCUACUUUGUAAAACACACGCAAAGUCUCUUCUCUCUCAUCCAAACCCUCAUCUCUCUUCACAAUCCUCAUCCUUUUUUUUGAAGUUGUCUCUUCCUCUUCUUUCUUUAUGUUCUUCUUCUACUAUUUUGAUUCUUUCUGCUAACAUAUUCUUUCUGCUAACAUAGUUUACGAAAAUAUAUUUUAUGAUGUGCGGUGUGUGGUUUAACGGCGGUAGCAGAUCUGUGGUGAAGGCAGCCUAUUUUUGGUGGCGAGGGUGAUAGUGGACGAAUCUUAUGAGUUUAAGCGAUAAUCCAGUUUGCGGAACAUUUGUUUCAAUUUCAAGAUAAAAAAUUAAUAUUUGCUUUUGGGUUGUUGAUUCGAUUUCAAGCAAAGAAGAUGGAGAUUUGUUUGUGGUUUGAGAUUUUGUUUCAAGCGAAGAGUUUAUGGCGGCAGAUCUGAAGUUUUCGGCGAUUUCACAUCGAUAGGUUUUGGAUCUGUCUUUGGCUUCCUUCUCAAUUCUGCUGCCUUACCUUGGUAAAUUUCUCAAGGUAACUUUAUCCAUCUAUAUAAAUUCUUUCACCAUGAACAAUUUUAAUAGAAUUUCUUUGGACAUGUUUUGACGAUGUCGAGUAGAAUGUAUUUUGCCUUUACAAUUUGAAGCUUUUACAUCUACAAGUGUUUACGUGACUCAAAUGCUAACACAAGUGCCAUUGUUAACCAAACUUGGACAUCAUAUAUUUUAUUGCGUAAUACAAAUACCAUUGUUGCGGUACGUCACAUAGAUUAUCAUUAUUUAUUUAUGAUUGUUGUUGUUGAUUUUUAACAAACCAUUUAUUCUCUGAAUCAACUAAGCACUCUAUUUUUCUGGUCUUAACUUUGUAUUCAUUUAUCUUAUAUUCUCAAACAAUUUCAAUGUGUUCAGCUCAUUUUGAUUCAAGGAGAAAUUCUUCUUGGACAGUUUUGGAAUAUAAUUGAAAAUGCAGGCCUCAAUGAAUUGAAGGAGACUCUAUAUUUUCCACAAGAUUAGUAGUAUGAUUAGUAGCUUAUGUGAUCUUUGAUUUUCUUUAAAAGCUUUGUGUUAUUACAUUUUGUUAUUCUAAUUGCAGGUCCUCAACUUGAUUAAACCUGUUGCAUGUGUUAAAAAGCUGUCAACGUUAUGAUUACAGGUCCACAAGCGCGGCAGGAACUCUUGAGAAUAGACAAGCAAACCCUUUUUGAGCAAGCUCGGAAAAAUAUGUACUGUUCGACAUGCAACGAUUUGCUUCUUGAACGCUUUUUGCAGAUUGUUAUGUAUGGAAAGUUUUUGCAACCGGAAGGGACGGGUGUUCAGUUUCCUUGUGGCAGACCCGGGGGUUUAAAGAAUCAAAGUUAUGGUGGAUCAUCUGUUUCCAACGCGGUUCAAGAUGAAAUUUGAGAUCCGUCUGUUCAUCCUUGGGGAGGUUUGACGACGAUGCGUGUGCUCUGCAUACUGCCAGACUUUCAUGUGAUACGCUGGUGGAAUUUUGGUCAGCACUGGGAGAGGAGACAAGACAAUCUCUUCUAAGAAUUAAAGAAGAAGAUUUUAUUGAGAGACUCAUGUUCAGGUCCGAGGAAUAAAAAAAAUCACUACUGAUGAUCCAAAUACUGGUACGUUCUGUUAUUGAACCUGAACUUGUGUAUUGACUGGGUAUGAUUGUUUUUGUGAUGCAGAAAAUUAUAAGUUUUGAAACCAGGAAGAAGAUACAGUUUGAACAAGUUUUGCAUUAACUUGCAGUUUUAAAUUAUCUUGCAAACAUUAGAGGGGAGUGUUGCAUCUGGAUUUAGAAAACCUAAAGAGGAGGAGUUUGAAACACGUUUGUAUGUAUGCAGAGGGAAAAGAGUUCUCAGAUUGAAAUAGGUCCCGUUUGCAAGGUCUUCAUGGAACUUGGUCUUUAGCUACUGAUGAAGUUGCUUUUGUGUUGAUUUAGUGUUUAAUACACAACAACUCAACUCUUGGAAAUGUGGUAACAACAUAUUAACAGCAUAGACAUGUAAGUGGCUAACCUUUUCGCUCUCAUCGCUAAAUCGAUUUCACCAUCACCACAUGUGUCGAAUUUUUCAUGCUUUAAGUUUUCAAAAUUCAUCGUUUUUUUGGCAAAGAGAAGACACUGGCCAUAACUCUCAAAUAUACAGGUUUGUAAAAAUUAAGAUUCGUAAAGAAUUGCAUGUGUGCGUAAACACUCGAAGGAAAAUUCUAUACCUGAAAGAAUAUUGCUUUCGCUUUUUUGCAUUACAGAUCCAACCUAUAUGGUCCGAGUUGUUCCAAAUAAUGCAUCAAACAAUGUGUACUGCACACUUCCUGCCCGAAGUGUUUUUCAUGGGGCAAUGGCAUGUUACAUUACACCUGCUACAUAAGUGGACUUGUCAAUGGAAGACAGACUUACAUACCAUUUUAUCUGAGUUCAUUGGUUAUGAUAUUUGUUUGUUUUCUUAGAAUAGCAUUAUGACUAUUUAUGGUUUUGUUCAGGAAGAAAAACCAAAUUGUUAAUGGUUCGUCUCGAAUUGAAUUGAAUUUUAGGACUGUUUAAAAAAAAUAAAUCGAACCGAACCAUAUUGAAAAUCAACCAAACUGGAUUUGUCUCAUUUUGGCUACAAGAAUGAUACUCUAUUGGCUAACUCUCAUGUUUUGAUGCAUUGUUAUACAGAUAAUCCUAGGGAGACAGGAUAAUAUUGUGAUAAGUGAUAACUGAUAGAAUGUGGGCUGUAUUGUUAUGUUCGACAAACCAACCUAGCUUUAUAGAUGUCAAGGUUUCCAAUGAAGAUGAAAUAGGCAAAAACUCAUUGGAUCAGUUACUGGUCGUUGUUAGGAAGACACUUUGGUUGAUGAAAUCGACACCAUUUCUUCCGCAACUGCUUGCUGAUUGUUACUCGAGUUUAUCUAUUGAAGUAUUUUAAGGAGUAUAUAUUAGAGUUAUCAUUUUUGUUCUUUCAUGUCCAUAACAGAUGGCUUUGGAAAACUCAUCCUGACAGGAUUAUUAUAUUAGUUAUAGUUAAUAAUGUUAUAUUUAAUAAUGUGAAUGGAUUUUGGUC